rnacentral:rRNA from 1 species
CUACCCCAAACCGACACAGGUGAUCAGGUAGAGAAUACCAAGGCGAUCGAGAGAACUGUGGUUAAGGAACUCGGCAAAAUGCCCCCGUAACUUCGGGAGAAGGGGGACCAUGCCCGGUGAACAUCUUCACGGUGGGAGCUGGGUGUGGUCGCAGAGACCAGAGAGAGGCGACUGUUUACUAAAAACACAGGUCCGUGCGAAGACGUAAGUCGAUGUAUACGGACUGACGCUGCCCGGUGCUGGAAGGUUAAGAGGACCGGUUAGCCGUAAGGCGAAGCUGAGAAUUUAAGCCCCAGUAAACGGCGGUGGUAACUAUAACCAUCCUAAGGUAGCGAAAUUCCUUGUCGGGUAAGUUCCGACCUGCACGAAUGGCGUAACGACUUCUCUGCUGUCUCGACCACAGACUCGGCGAAAUUGCACUACGAGUAAAGAUGCUCGUUACGCGCGGCAGGACGAAAAGACCCCGGGACCUUUACUAUAGCUUGGUAUUGGCGUUCGAUUCGGUUUGUGUAGGAUAGGUGGGAGACUGUGAAGCAUGCACGCCAGUGUGUGUGGAGUCGUUGUUGAAAUACCACUCUGAUCGUAUUGGACGUCUAACCUCGGCCCAUGAUCUGGGUUAGGGACAGUGCCUGGUGGGUAGUUUAACUGGGGCGGUUGCCUCCUAAAGAGUAACGGAGGCGCCCAAAGGUUCCCUCAGCCUGGAUGGCAAUCCGGUGUUGAGUGCAAGUGCACAAGGGAGCUUGACUGUGAGACUGACACGUCGAGCAGGGACGAAAGUCGGGACUAGUGAUCCGGCACCGGCAAGUGGAAGCGGUGUCGCUCAACGGAUAAAAGGUACCCCGGGGAUAACAGGCUGAUCUUCCCCAAGAGUCCAUAUCGACGGGAUGGUUUGGCACCUCGAUGUCGGCUCGUCGCAUCCUGGGGCUGGAGUAGGUCCCAAGGGUUGGGCUGUUCGCCCAUUAAAGCGGCACGCGAGCUGGGUUUAGAACGUCGUGAGACAGUUCGGUCUCUAUCCGCCGCGCGCGUAAGAAACUUGAGGAAGGCUGUCCCUAGUACGAGAGGACCGGGACGGACGAACCUCUGGUGUGCCAGUUGUUCCACCAGGAGCAUGGCUGGUUAGCUACGUUCGGAAGGGAUAACCGCUGAAAGCAUCUAAGCGGGAAGCCUGUUCCAAGAUGUGGUUUCUCACCACCUUGCGUGGUUAAGGCCCCCUACAGACCAUGGGGUUGAUAGGCCGGAACUGGAAGCGCAGCAAUGCGUGGAGGUGACCGGUACUAAUAGGCCGAGGGCUUACC